UACGUAGGGUGCAAGCGUUAAUCGGAAUUACUGGGCGUAAAGCGUGCGCAGGCGGUUUCGUAAGUCUGUCGUGAAAUCCCCGGGCUUAACCUGGGAAUGGCGAUGGAGACUGCGAGGCUAGAGUUUGGCAGAGGGGGGUAGAAUUCCACGUGUAGCAGUGAAAUGCGUAGAGAUGUGGAGGAACACCGAUGGCGAAGGCAGUCCCCUGGGCCUGUACUGACGCUCAUGCACGAAAGCGUGGGGAGCAAACAGG
rnacentral:rRNA from 1 species